GACGAACGCUGGCGGCGUGCUUAACACAUGCAAGUCGAACGGAAGGGCCCCUUUGGGGGUACUCGAGUGGCGAACGGGUGAGUAACACGUGAGUAACCUGCCCUUGACUUCGGGAUAACUUCAGGAAACUGGGGCUAAUACCGGAUAGGAAUCCUUGCUGCAUGGUGGGGGUUGGAAAGCUUCGGCGGUUUUGGAUGGACUCGCGGCUUAUCAGCUUGUUGGUGGGGUAGUGGCUUACCAAGGCUUUGACGGGUAGCCGGCCUGAGAGGGCGACCGGCCACAUUGGGACUGAGAUACGGCCCAGACUCCUACGGGAGGCAGCAGUGGGGAAUAUUGCACAAGGGGCGGAAGCCUGAUGCAGCAACGCCGCGUGCGGGAUGACGGCCUUCGGGUUGUAAACCGCUUUCAGCAGGGGCGAAGCUUGUGGUGACGGUACCUGCAGAAGAAGCACCGGCUAACUACGUG
rnacentral:rRNA from 1 species